AGGGAAAUAGCUCAGUGGUAGAGCGCAUGCUUAACAUGCACAAGGUCCUGGGUUCAGUCCCCAGCACCUCCA
rnacentral:tRNA from 1 species